rnacentral:tRNA from 1 species
CGGGGCGUGGCGCAGUCUGGUAGCGCACCUGCUUUGGGAGCAGGGGGCCGGAGGUUCAAAUCCUCUCGCCCCGA